rnacentral:lncRNA from 1 species
CACCCAAACCCAAUCCCCUUUUCAAACUCUAUAAAUACAAAGCCGGAGUGAAGUCCAGUUUGCCAAAUUGAAUGCCUGAAAACCCCAUUUCCAGAAGCAGCAUAACCAAAACUCGUAUUUUCAAUGGCGGCUUAUUAUUCCCCACGUAAAUCAAGCGGACCGGUUCUCCGAUCACUAUCGCCUUCCGGAAGAUUCGGCCACCAAUGUUCCUCACGCUCCUCUCACGCGCCGUCUUCUCACACUGUAUCGUCCUUCGCUUCCACCACAUCUUCCACCUUUACAACCGCUCGCUCCUUGCAAAGGCCCACUUCUCCUACCCGCGUAAAUCUCUAUAACUACACAAACCGCUCCGUCCGUUUCACCACCUCACCGAACCGGUCAAUCUCCGUGUCGAGCAAGGAGAAUCCCCGGGUCGCCACCGGUCAGAAGAGAAAUUGUAUGUGCUCCCCCACCAACCACCCUGGUUCGUUCCGUUGCAGCUUACAUAAAGGAUUCGCGAACCAAAGUUCAGUUCAUUCCCAAACGGCGUCGUCUCCAAUGCGAUUGAACAUGCGGCGUUCCGCCAUGACGAACUCUCUGGUGAGGAUAGGGACUGUGGAAGGAGACCUAAUGAAGAGAACUCUGGCAGCGUUGAUCCGUCCCUCCUCCCAUCAGCAGCGACGCCGCGCCGGGUUUCAGCCACGCAAAAGCCGGCUUUCCGUCAUGUCCAAGGCCGAAGGUCAUUGAAUGGUGAUUAAUCAUGCGACGGCGCGUACGGUGGCGAUGACGUCACUUUCUGGAAUCGAACGGAACGGGUUUUUUUUUUUUUGUAUUCCGUAAUCCGAUAGGAUCCGAAACAUUGUCACUGAGUAAUUAAUUUCGUGUAUAAAUAUAAUUACCUGCCAAUUAGUUUUCCAAAAUUGGAUUCUUAACUUCAACUUAAUUAUUGGAUAACAAUUCCAACUACGGACUGGACUUAAUCUGAAAAACAAUCAGAAAUUUAAAUUAUCACAAAUAUUCAUAUAUCAAGGCUAUUUUAUACCCUCAUUCAUUGACAUAAUUUAAUCAAAUAAUAAUUUUUUUCUUUCAACCCUCUUUUCCUCCAACAUUUCGGAAUUUUUCUGUUGAUCAAACCGACUCAAUGAUUUUGGUUUUUUUUUUUUUUUUUUUUUUUCUUUUUAACCAUUGGUGCUUUCAAGUUGACUCCGUCUAUUACGUGUAUACGUAUUUGUGGUGUAUUUAACUAUAAUUCUACUUUUAUGAAUUUUUUUUUUAAUUGUGCAUUUUAUUAUUAUUUUUUUUAUAUUAAAUUUUUUGUAGAUUCAAUUGAAUUUUGUUUUGAUGUGACUGACCUUUUUUUUUUUUUUUUUCCUU